rnacentral:rRNA from 1 species
GACGAACGCUGGCGGCGUGCUUAACACAUGCAAGUCGAACGGGGUCCUGGUUGGUGGCAACACCUUCCAGUACCUAGUGGCGAACGGGUGAGGAACACGUGAGCACCCCACCCCGAACUCUGGGAUAACAGCGGGAAACCGCUGCUAAUACCGGAUACCUUCCUGCGGUCGCAUGGCCGUGCGAAGAAAGGGUUACUGGUUCGGGACGGGCUCGCGGCCUAUCAGCUUGUUGGUGGGGUAACGGCCUACCAAGGCCUCGACGGGUAGCUGGUCUGAGAGGAUGAUCAGCAACACUGGGACUGAGACACGGCCCAGACGCCUACGGGAGGCAGCAGUGGGGAAUCUUGCGCAAUGGGCGAAAGCCUGAUGCAGCAACGCCGCGUGCGGGAUGACGGCCCUCGGGUUGUAAACCGCUUUCAGCAGGAACGAAUCUGACGGUACCUGCGGAAGAAGGUCCGGCCAACUACGUGCCAGCAGCCGCAGUAAGAC